rnacentral:misc_RNA from 1 species
GCAGGAGCAGCGGGGACCGGUGCGACCUUAGGAACAAGAACCUGAACAGUGGACUUCUUAGAAUCCCUAAUUCCCAAAGGAUCCUUGAAAAACUCCUCGAUUCUCAAAACGUCAAGCAGGAAGUCGGCCUUGGAUUUGGCGCUGUGGAGAUCCUGCGGAAACCCUAGCGGGCAGAAGCAGAUUCGGCGACAUGUAAUUGGGCAAGCUACGUGAAAGGCCAUAGUGAAGGGAUUUUGAAUUUUUUGAGUUUUAGAGAGAG